rnacentral:rRNA from 1 species
GCCCGAGCUUGCUCGGGUGGAUGAGUGGCGAACGGGUGAGUAACACGUGAGUAACCUGCCUAUCACUCUGGGAUAAGCGCUGGAAACGGCGUCUAAUACUGGAUAUGUCCUGUCACCGCAUGGUGUGCAGGUGGAAAGAUUUAUCGGUGGUAGAUGGACUCGCGGCCUAUCAGCUUGAUGGUGAGGUAAUGGCUCACCAUGGCGACGACGGGUAGCCGGCCUGAGAGGGUGACCGGCCACACUGGGACUGAGACACGGCCCAGACUCCUACGGGAGGCAGCAGUGGGGAAUAUUGCACAAUGGGCGCAAGCCUGAUGCAGCAACGCCGCGUGAGGGAUGACGGCCUUCGGGUUGUAAACCUCUUUUGUCAGGGAAGAAGCGAAAGUGACGGUACCUGGAGAAAAAGCACCGGCUAACUACGUGCCAGCAGCCGCGGUAAUACGUAGGGUGCAAGCGUUGUCCGGAAUUAUUGGGCGUAAAGAGCUCGUAGGCGGCUUGUCGCGUCUGCUGUGAAAACCCGAGGCUCAACCUCGGGCCUGCAGUGGGUACGGGCAAGCUAGAGUGCGGUAGGGGAGAUUGGAAUUCCUGGUGUAGCGGUGGAAUGCGCAGAUAUCAGGAGGAACACCGAUGGCGAAGGCAGAUCUCUGGGCCGUAACUGACGCUGAGGAGCGAAAGCAUGGGGAGCGAACAGGAUUAGAUACCCUGGUAGUCCAUGCCGUAAACGUUGGGAACUAGAUGUAGGGCCUGUUCCACGGGUUCUGUGUCGUAGCUAACGCAUUAAGUUCCCCGCCUGGGGAGUACGGCCGCAAGGCUAAAACUCAAAGGAAUUGGGGCGGGGGGGGGGGGGGGGGGGGGGGGGGGGGGGGGGGGGGGGGAAAA